ACACACACACACACACACACACACACACACACACACACACACACACACACACACACACACACACACACACACACACACACACACACACACACACACACACACACACAGAACCAUUUCCCGUUUUCUCUCUACCGCCUCACAGAAAACGAGGAGCCACUUCUACCCCAAACUUGCAUAAAAA